CAUCGGUUUUCCUGACAUCACUCAUUUCUCUAUCGGAAUCGGAGCUGAGAACUGUGAUUUUUUGUGUGAUCGUUUGAAGAAUUUCCUGAAUAGUUUUUGGUUAAUUUGUUAAUAGCUUCUAAAGUAAAUUGAGCACGAUGUCGCUAAAUCCCCAGUACGAAGAUAUUGGCAAGGGCUUCGUCCAGCAGUACUAUGCCCUGUUCGACGACCCGGCAAACCGUGCAAGCGUGGUCAAUUUCUACAGCGCAACAGAAUCCUUUAUGACCUUCGAGGGCCAUCAGAUACAGGGAGCUCCUAAAAUAUUAGAAAAGAUUCAGAGCCUGAGUUUUCAAAAGAUUACAAGAGUAAUAACCGCUGUCGACUCGCAGCCCACCUUCGAUGGAGGAGUGCUCAUCAAUGUCCUGGGACGUCUGCAGACCGACGAGGACCAGCCGCAUGCCUACAUACAGACCUUUGUGCUGAAGCCCGUCGGCGGUAGUUUCUUUGUGCAGCACGAUAUCUUUCGGCUAUCGCUGCACGAUGUGUAGCCCCCCGGGCAGUCGUCCUCCUCUUCCCUCCACCACUACCAACAAGAGAGCAAUCGGGCACGAGGCAGGCCAAUGCGACGACGAUCCCCCGCAUGCCUUCUCGCAGGUCUUUAUGCUGAAGGCCAAUGCAAACUCGUUCUUUGUGGCCCACGACAUUUUCCGUCUAAAUAUACACAAUACUGCAUAAGUAAUAUCCAUAAAAACACAUAACCACACCCAAAGAUGCGGCACAGAACAGAGAACAAAACGGAAAAGCUCAAUAAAAAAAUCAGACAACUCGUCAAAAAAAAUUAUUGGAACAGCUCAGCAACACUACAACAUAGAAAGCCAGCCACAGCUUUGAAACAUCAACAAAAAAUCAACAACAGAAAUAUAAUGUAAAAAGAAAAUCAACCGCAGCUUCAUCAAAAGCAUCGCAUGGCUGUGUUUUCUUUGUUGUGUUGUUGUUAUGCUCUCUAGAAACAACAAUGUCCACAACACAUCAAUGUCCACAAUUCAACAACAACCACAACAACAGCAGCUGCAGCAGCUCAACAACAACAACAACAACGACUAGCUCAAUCAAUGGAUAGGGUGGAGGUCCAUGCCUAUGGCCAGACGCAUACGCAGUGCCGCAGCAAGUUCUCACGUUUAUCAGGAAUGAACAAAACAGAGUAAAAAAAAGAAAUUAAAUUCUAAUUACUAUUACUAUUACUAUGUAAACGAAAUGAGCGAUCGCCGCGCUCCGAUCCCCUAUACAUAUUUUUUUCGGACCAUUUUCCAUGUCAAUGACUAAUUUAAAAAGCGGACGAUUUACUUUUUAUUGAGACUAAAUCUCACACAAUAACAGACAAAUUAUAACACUUACAUUUAAGCGAGUUUAGGGGACAAGGACGAUCAUAUUGACGAGAGUAAGAGAGUGACUGACGUGUAUGCAAAUUGUACGAGCAAUCUUAGAAUGUGUGUAAAGCAAAAGCAAUUGUUAAAAUCGUCUGAUGCGUUCGAUCACAGAGAGAAUCGAUGCAUGCGAGCUGCUAGAGUAGCUAGCAGCGUCUCCCAUCACUCUCUGGGAAUCAAGGGCAUCUAACAGACGCAUGGAAUCGCUGAAGACUAGAUCUGAACGUAUGCAAAUGUAAUCUAAGAUGCGUUUCUGUGGCGAAGGCAAAGCAAUCGAAAAUUAUUGUAACUAUCAUAGAUGCAUCCAAUCGUUUCCAAUUGUGUUUUAAAAUCUAAGAAUGCACCCAAAGGGGCAGCGCUAAAGUGACUAAAACCUCUGCAGUUGUAUUAAUCUAAGACAUCACCACCAUCACACACAGCACAGCACGUUGGGUAGGUUCGGUAGGGGAGAACUUGGGGGAGCUCGCUAGUAAGUUGUAAGCUAUUCAGUUGUAUGUGUGGUUAGUGUUAUUCUAAAGAGCGAAUGUUUGAGUAAAAAAUAUAUAAAUAAAUGAAAUUAAAUGAA